rnacentral:rRNA from 1 species
UACGUAGGGGGCUAGCGUUGUCCGGAAUCAUUGGGCGUAAAGCGCGUGUAGGCGGUCCGGUAAGUCCGCUGUGAAAGUCGGGGGCUCAACCCUCGGAUGCCGGUGGAUACUGUCGGGCUUGAGUACGGAAGAGGCGAGUGGAAUUCCUGGUGUAGCGGUGAAAUGCGUAGAUAUCAGGAGGAACGACCGGUGGCGAAGGCGGCUACCUGGACAGAAACUGACGCUGAGGCACGAAAGCUAGGGGAGCAAACAGG